UGGCUGGAUAGUGAGCUAACGCUAACCUAUGGAGCUAACAUCUGAGUUUCCCAAAAACAACUCCAGGAAACAAAGGAUGUGCUGCGACAAAUGCUAAGAUUCAAAAAGUCAGACAAUAAUAGAAGGUCCGAAGCGCAGCACCAGAGCCCGGUGGGGAGAAACGACUCGGUCCGUAUGCUUCGUCACCAUGGCUGCAGGAGGAAAGAGGAUGAGGAGGCACCGGAAAAGUUGAUUGGAGGCGACGGUGACAGGUGUCGUCUCCUCACAACGGAGCUGAGAUCCACUCACAGAAGCAGCAGCUGCAGGGAGUCAGGCGCGUUCCCCGCUGAGCUCUGAGGUUUAAAAGAUGAGAAGUGGCCGUCUCCGUGGGAACAAUCAGCCGGUGUUUAAAUUUCUACAAAAACGAGCUGAGAGAAGAAGUCUAAACCAAUCGGCCUGGAUCUGAAACUGCUCAGAAGAGGCCUGCGGAUGAGUGGGAGAAGGCCGAAGCUUUCGCCAAAACGCUUUUCUGAUCUUUGCCUACAUGUUUGCUCAACUUUUUCACACACAAGCGCUCGAUGUGACCGGCAGUGAGUGAGAACCAUAAACACGUCGGCGCACAGCAGCCAGCACACUCCGGGGCUAUUUUUAGUCCUUUCUGGUGAUCAGAUCCCUGAUAUUUCUGCAGUGGCUGAUCCAAAUCCCAGACAUGUGGGCUGGAUUUAGCCUUGUGCAAAAAAUAAAGAUUCUGGUGGCAUUA